CCUACGGGAGGCUGCAGUGAGGAAUAUUGGUCAAUGGACGAGCGUCUGAACCAGCCAAGUAGCGUGAAGGAUGACUGCCCUAUGGGUUGUAAACUUCUUUUAUAAAGGAAUAAAACGAGGCACGUGUGCCUUUUUGUAUGUACUUUAUGAAUAAGGAUCGGCUAACUCCGUGCCAGCAGCCGCGGUAAUACGGAGGAUCCGAGCGUUAUCCGGAUUUAUUGGGUUUAAAGGGAGCGUAGAUGGGUUGUUAAGUCAGUUGUGAAAGUUUGCGGCUCAACCGUAAAAUUGCAAUUGAUACUGGCAGUCUUGAGUACAGUUGAGGUAGGCGGAAUUCGUGGUGUAGCGGUGAAAUGCUUAGAUAUCACGAAGAACCCCGAUUGCGAAGGCAGCUUACUAAACUGUGACUGACAUUGAUGCUCGAAAGUGUGGGUAUCAAACAGGAUUAGAUACCCGAGUAGUC
rnacentral:rRNA from 1 species